GGUUAUUACAUCAAAAAUUUUAAAUUCCUUUACAUAAAUUCCUAGAAACCAUACGAAAACAAGAAAGAGAAUAUGAAAAUAUUCGUUUUACUUUCGUUUUUAGUAUAUACAACCAAUCCCGCACAACAUGUGCGGCGUGCUUUGGAUCAUUGUCUUGCUGGAAGAUCCAACUGGCUCAAUGUAUCCACCGAUGGUGUUUUGAAAUAUUAAAGGGAAUUUUUUUCCUUGAACAUUUUACGUUCUUUCCUAGUAACUAUAGUAUACAUAAUUUUAUUUUUUUUCUGAAACAAUGAUGCCAUACCAAGUUUUUUGUUUUUCAUUGCGAAAACCCGAAAUAUCGAAAAAAUUUGUGCUGUAUGUUGAUUUUUUUCCUUGACUGUAUGUGUUAGUAUCUUGUGAGAUGUUAAGACAUUUUUUUAAACGCAGAUUUAUUUUUCCAACGUUUCCCAAUUUUUUCCUUAAUUAGGUUUUAGUGAAAAGGAACCAAUCCCCUAUUUUUGCAUACGAUCAAUGUCAGGAACCAAUAUACCGUGUAAAAACAAAAUUAGGUGUAUAUACAUAUGUACAUAGAUGUGCCAGUUCAUGGAACGAAUAUUUCGCACGUCGAACAUAGUGCAUCCCGUACAGUAUACUGUAUGGUUAGUGGUUUAAGUCUGGCGUUCGGCUACCGCCGCGUCAUCAAGUCAAAAGCACAGAGAACAUAUUCGCAUGUGUUAAUAAAAAAAUGCACAAAAUACCCUGCAGUACGGGUCUUCGACGAAUCAGCUUCUGAUACGUCGAUGACCUGAUUGACGAAAAAUCAUGGAUUUAAUAAGCGAUGAUUUUUGCCGAAAUAUCAUGCGUUUUAUAAGCUAUGACUUUUGUCGAAAUAUAUGUGCCUGCUUGAACCAUGCGUCGCAAAUAAGGGUUACUUUUUGAUGAUUUUGUUAUGUUGUUUUGUUUGUUGCUGGACUGCUCACAAAUUGAACUUUCGUACCCACCACAGAUUAUAAUAAUUUAAUUCGCUACUACGGAUUUAUAUUCUAUUUCUUUAUUCUUCUUUUGUUUCCGACCAUGAGAGAAGCAUAAAGUCAUAUGUAUAAUGUGAAUGCAGCGAAACAUUAAUAUAAUUUGAAAACAGUUUUUAAACUGUUUUUUUUUUUUUAAAUUUUUUUACAAUUGAGAUUUUCUUUAUUUACCACGCACACGACAAAUAUUAUUAUUAAACACUGCAAUUACCUGAUAAUUAUAAUAAUAUCACAGCAAUUAAUUUCGCUUUGUUUGCGCACAAUUUGACGAUUGCAGAUAACAAAUGUAAAGCGAACAAAGCAAAAGAGUGCUGACGACGCAGGCGCAAAAGAGACAAAAAGAAAAUACGAAGAACUCUUCUACUGCGCACGGUCGGCAGAACCGAAUUAAGUUGUAAAGAACCUAAAAGGGUUCGAUACAAUCCUUCCCCCGACAUAUUAUAAACAUAAGAACCCACUGCAAAAUUACAAAGCCUCACACAACACAGAUUGAAGGCAUGCGUUAUUUACAACACGAACACCCCCCCUCCAGACAUAGCCACCGAUCGACCAGCACCGACGCCAAUAACGCUGACCAAACACACCAGGUCACGCAGACUUCCCCCACUCCAGACCAAGCAACCGGCCAGGCGCAGUUUUCCGGGUUCAUCGACUACGAAAAGAUGACACCGCGGAUGCCUACAACAAGCACCCAACGGCAAGCCCGCCAAAACGCGAAGAGACAGAACCAGGUCAACCCACGAUCGCCAAAACGGCGAAGUGCACCCCGACGUUGAAGUGCACUUUUGAACCCGCUGACACAGCAGCAACAGGCGUAUACAUAGACGCCGGCCAGAACUAGAAGGGAGCUUACGCAGAAAACCGGCACAGAGUACAGACGUUGUACCAGGAGCUUACGAAAGAUACCGGCGAUCAGUAGAGUUAUCAAACUAAUCCAAUUUAAAGUGCUAAGACGAGCAGCGCCCACUCCAGCCCCGAUCCACCCUCUCUAAGAUAAGACAACCCCGACGUUUCCCUCAAAGUUCCAUAUAUUUCUACAAAUUUCUUGUGGAUUGACCCCAGGACGUGACUGAGCUUACCUCAGCCUGAAAUAGGUCCAUUACAAAAUUUCUCACGCGCGGAGAAGAAAGAAAGAAAAGAGAAAACAUAGGGUUCGAUUUGGCUGGCGUCAACGCCUAGAUGACAUUCGUCAUCGCUCACUGCUGGUACUGCAGGCUUAUUUUAUUAAAGGCGUGCACACGCACACGCUACUUUGCGUGGGUAUUAUUGCAUAUACAAAAAAUGAUUGUAUAUAAUAAAAUUUAUAUAAUUAUACUUAAUAAUAAUAUAAUAACAUAAUAAUUAUUAUGUACUAUCCGCACAGUAACUUCUGAACAAAUUAAGAUAUCUUCAUUAAACAAACUUCAUUUGAAAGAACAAUCAUUCAAAAUUUAAAUAUGUGAACAUUCUCCUAUGUAAUAUGCUACAUUUUUAUAUUUUUAGAUCAAUAAAGUACUUUUAAUGGUUUGUUAUUUAUUUAUUAUACC